rnacentral:lncRNA from 1 species
AUGUUUAAUUUGCACGGUUCCAGCCACACGAAGGUGAAGCGAGACAAGCUGAAAUCCUGCAAGCUCCACAGUCCCGAUGCAGUGGUGGGUGGAGAGAGAGAGAGAAUGGGGAAGAAUAAGCAGGCAGCAAAAGGACUGAGUGAGCUGUCUGCAAAACACGAUGCCUCUAGGGGCCCAGUUCCAAGCCUAGAGAUGUCAGAUGCCAAGAAGCAAAGCCAGCCAAUCCAACAGAAAGGCUAUUUGAGUGUGUGUAAUGCACACCCUCCGCUCUGCUCCCCCAACAUACCUUCCUAUCAGCAACAACCAGCUAUUAUUUAGUGGACCAUUUAUAAAUAAGCCAGUAACUCCCUUGCCACCCACAGUUCCUGAAAGAGCUCUGGCCUCUUGGAAAUGGGCAGAGUUCAAACUCUCUUGGCUCAAUUCAAAGCAGAUUUGUUGCGCAACAACGCGGCAGGGGGCUGGAGGGAUGGUGAGGAAAUGAAGCAAGAACAAAUUGUUUUGUUCUUGCCUUUUCUGCUCAACUUGGCCGCCUCUCUCUGGUUAACUUCUUCCUCCUGGUGAAGAAGAUGAUGGGCAAAUGAGGGUAUUUUCAC